UACUUGUGCACAACAUGGCGUUUUACUCCCUCCGUGACAUAUUAAGUGACGAAAUAUUACACAUAUCUAGAAGAUUUUUGGUAUAGAUAGAUACAUCUAUAUUUGGACAGAUUUGAGUCACUUAAUAUGGGACGGAAGAAUUACAAAACAAGAUGUUAAAUCUGUACAAUCCUAUCCGUUUUUAGAUAAUCAUG